GUUUUCGGUCUUUUGUGUUUUUUUGUGUUGUGUGAAAAAAAUAUGAGUGAGGCAGAAGUGGUUCCGGACAAAGAAGACACCCUCCUGCUCCAGCUUCUCCAGGAGUUUCAUCAGUCCAGUGUUUAUGGGUAUUUAAAAGCUUCUCAGGUUACAUACAACAGCUUGCAAUGGUGAAAACCUUAAGGAAGCAAUACCUCCUCUUGUUCUUCGAAUCGAAUUUAGGAUGAAGCUUUUAAGUGGAAAAAAUUCAGUUUGGCGUCGAUGACUACACAAUUUCUGUUCAAUCCAAAGUUGACAACUGGCUAAUUGAAGAAGAUGACUUCCGUGGCAAACGAGUUGUAAACAAAGCAAUACUAUUGUUAAAUUGUAUUAAAU